UUUUUCAUCCCUCGUUCGUUGCCGUAUUUAGCUAGAGCCGUUUGAAAAAACAUCAGGAAGAUACUGUUCUGGGGUUUCCUAGUAGAGAAGCAGAUUCGUUUUCAUUUGGCGACGGCUCUUAGAGAUUGUAAAGCUAUAUUAUGUGCUAUGAUCUUAUUGCAGUUCAGUUACUGCUGUUGUGUUGAAAACUUAAGAGCAGGUUUAAAUUUAUUAUAGCUCUGGCUAUCCAUCUUCUGUUGUGUUGCCGCUAUGGCGAACAACACUGUGGCACAGUUACGGAAUCCUUGGAUAUAAUGCUGUUUUGCAGAUAAGGCAGGCUAAGUUUACGUGGGAACGUUUUUUAAUUACUUUAUUAGGAAUUCAUCUAGAAAUUUCUCAAGCAACUCAUCAAGAUAUUGCUCCUGAUUCCUUUAAAAAUCAAUUCGUCCAAAAUACGUAAACAGAUUGCAAAGGAGUUCCUCUAACGAAUAUUUCAGAUGUUUAAUUAAAAUUUAUUCCAGUUAUUAUUAAAGUAAUUCCACAAUAGAUUCUUCAAAGGUUCUUCUGGAUAUUCAUCCCAAAAUUCCUCUAUUGAUUCCUUUAGAAACAUUUGUAAGGAAACCUUUCUGAUUUUUUUUUGUUGGUUCCUUGUUCCUUGAGUUUUGGUUUUUGGUUGGUUGUUCCUUGAGAGAUCGCUCUGGGAAUUUCUUUGUGAAUUCUUUUCAUGAUUUUUUUCAGGGUUUCAUGUGGGGUUCUCCAAGUCAUUACUUCAGAAAUUUAUUCAUAAAAAUCUCAGUACAUUCUUUUAGAAGCUCCUUCCGGAGGGAUUCCCAGAAGAUCAUCGAAUAUUCUUCCUGGAGUUACAUCCUUGUUCUUUAAGAAUUUAUCCCGCAAAUCUUCCCGCGGAAUCCUUUCAGAGAUUCUUUCACCAAUUCUUUCAAAAAUACUUUUACAAUUUAGUUCUUCGUGAAGUAAUUCUUCUUGAAAUUACUGCAGAGCAUUCUUCAGUAUUUCAGACAUUCCUUCGAAGAUUUCAUCAAAAAAUACAAUUUCUUUGGAAUUUUGUUUUGGCAAUUUCUUUAAUAAUUCUUCCAGAUUAGUUUUACAUUUCUGGAGCUGAAUUUUCCGCAGAAAAGUUUUUUAGACUUCAGAAUUUGUAUAAGAAAUUUCUACACGAAUUACUGUAGAUUUUUUUUUUCAAUGGAUUUUUCAGGAAAUUCAAAUCUCUCCAGGAAAUUUAUUGGAAAUUCUUUCAGGGAACCCUGGAAGAAUUUGUCCAGCACUCUUUAUGUACAUAAUUUCAUAAAAUACUUCUGUAAAAAUCUGAAAGAAUUUUUAAAGGCAUCUACGGAGCAAUCUCUGGAGAUAUUUCUGGAGGAACUGCAAGACAAAUUCCAAGAAGAAACCUAGAGAUUUUUUCAGUUACUCCUGACGAAAUUCCCGUGGGAUUCCUGGAGGAACCCUUGUGAGAAUUUCCGAAAGAAGCAAUGAAAUUAAAAAAAAAUCUAGAUGAAUUUCCAGAAAAAAAUCAAUGGACAAAUUCCUGACGAAUCCCUUGCUGACAUUUACGAAGAUAUCCUUGCUGAAGGAAUCUCAGGAGAUAAUCCUAAGAAGAUUCCUGAAGCAGUUUAAGAAGGAAUCCGUGUAGGAAUUUCUGAUGGAGCGCUUGGAAGUUUUUUUUUGAUAAAUCUUCGCUCCAAUUCCUGUUGAAAUUCUUGGAGAUAUUCUUUCAAAAUCCUUGGAGAAAUAUUUGAAAGAAAACCUGGAAAAUUUCAGAAGGAAUUCUAGCAUGGGUUGCUGAAAAAAUUCCUGGGCGAGAUUCGAAGGGGCUCGAGAGUGUCCCUAAUUCUCAAACUACGAACACCACGUCCUCGUAUGAAUAAUGGAUAAACUGAUUCGAAGGGGCAUCGUGUCAGUUUUAUUUAGCGUCCCAACUAACACUGGGACGACCACGGUGAUGGGGCUACCACCUUGGAUUUUGCUGGGCGUGAUGCAGUAUUUCUUACUCAGUCGCAGGAUGCCAGAACAGACGCUGUUUGAGCCGCACCUCCUGGUGAACCUUCUAGCAAUAGUCACCAAUUUAGCACACGGAGAAAAAACAAUGCAGUUUGAAUCAACUAACACGUUUGUUGUUUCACAAACUGGACAAAUAGUUGUUUUGAAUUGUAGUUUUGUUGUUUUUGAACCACGUUUAUUGUUUGGAACAAACCGGCAAAACAGUUGUUUCUACUAUCAUUUAGUAACAAAAAACAACUGCUAAAUUAGUUAUUUCAAACCGGAAGCUUGGUUAAUUCUACUAAAAGUUCGGGUUGCAUUUAUUAAAAUACGGUUUGUUUUGAUUCAGAUAAAUAAAGUAAAAUGUUAAGUAAGUACAACAAAUCGGGCAGUUAAUUUAACUAAUGUUUUGUUUGGAGAAAAAACAAACAUUUUAGUUUGAAACCCGACCGGAACAAACUAAAUUAUUGGUUUGUUUCGGCUUCCGCGCCACUUUUAUUCUGAUUCACUUUCACUCGAGAAAAAGAAAAAGAUGUUGGCUCAUUUGGAGUAAAGUUGAAACAAUUGUGUGCUCAAGUGACUACUGUUUUUACUUCAACAAAAAAUCAAGACAUUUGCUUCUUUCUUCAGCGAUAUUAGGUGGACAAAAACAACAUUAACUAGCAAGAGCUAAUAACAAAUUCUACAAUGGAGGGUGUGAUAAGAGAAUGCUAUCAAGGAGCAGGCUCAAUACUGCCAACCUACCCACGAGCCUUCCCGCAAACGAAAAAAAAAAAAAACAGAUCCUGGCCGAAAUUCGAACGAAGCAAAGGGCCACCGGCACCGGUAAGAUGUUAGGAGAUUCGUUUACUGUGGCCGGCAAUCCAGUCUAUUCUGGCGCUUCGACAACUCCAUGGGGUAAGCGGAAGACAUCACGCGAGUGCUUUCGAUAUUCCGGAUUGGAGGAAUACAACAUAAUCUGCUGGAUGUAGGUGAAAGAGAUAAUAAAAUUUAUAUUUGAGGCUUGAUUUUAUUAUUUCAUGUUUAUGAAUAAUUAUAUUUAAAUAAAUAGAUAUGUGAUUUUAUUUUUGUGUUUUUUUUUCUUUUCAAAACAGGGAAGGAUGGGUCAUGCAGUUCAACAAAUGUGUCAUUUAAUAUAACCGGCGUUUUUGGUUUGAUUCAAACUAAGCUUUGUUAGAUUCAAACUAAACCUGUUUGUUGAAACAACAAAUACUUCAGCACAGACAAACAGACGUAUCACUUGGAACAAAUUGCGAUAAAAAUCAUCGUCACGAAAACAUAAUCGCCCAAUGCUAACCAGGCUGUGUUACGCAAAGCACUCAGUAGGUGGCAGUAGUGAGCAAACGUCAAACAAGAGCAAUAACGAUGCGAGCGCCGUGACCGAGCGA